GGUUCAGUACUGCUCUGGUGGCCUAAAUGAUUAGAGCGUUUGCCUCAAAUGCAGGAAGUCACAGGUUCAAAUCCUAACUGAGUCA